UCUUAUUUGUUACUAAUCACUAUCUCGCCGAAAAUGUAUGUAGAUUUAUACUGAAAGGUUGUUUUCUUCUACUUUGGUAUGCUGCAGCAUACAAAAUGUUCAUACACGGUAUCACACAAGUGGGCUGGGCAGACACGUAGGCGUCAGCUCUCUGCCUUAAAAGUGGCAGCUUGAAUCACUCGCAGCUCAAAAGCGACACUUCAAAUCAGAGCACUACUAAUGCCUAUUAGCUCCUUCUUUGAGGCUUCAGGUACCGGUACAGUGACAUCAGGAAUUCUGAGCUGCAAUAUGGCAGAACAACACGUUUUGCACGGCUUAUUUUUGGGCUGCUGUAAUCACGAGCCUGAUGUGCGGACGGACGACUGCUGCAAACAGCCCCAAAUACUUGAACAUUGCGCAUUUUUACAAAAGCGUGACAACGUUAUGGACACUUCAGUCGCAAACGACAACUGGACAAGAGGGCGUCGCAUGUUUGGUGUACAGUAUCAAGGAUGCCUCUAAAACAUCGUUCAGCUUUAAUCAGAUCUUUUACAAGGAUGGUCAAAGAAAUGACUGGAACAUGCAAGGAAAAUUUUCAAAAGCAUGGACUGGUAGCCGGAGUAAUUUUUUCGAUUCACUAAGUGUUACCCCUCCUGAAGGUAAGUA